rnacentral:rRNA from 1 species
AGAGUUUGAUCCUUGGCUCAGAACGAACGCUGGCGGCGUGGAUAAGACAUGCAAGUCGAACGAGAACUAUGAAUAGCUUGCUAAUUGUAGUUUUAGUGGCGGACGGGUGCGUAACACGUGAGCAACCUACCCUAAAGUGGGGGAUAGCCUUUCGAAAGGAAGAUUAAUACCGCAUGUGAUCUUAGGAUCAAAGAUGGCUUCGGCUGUCGCUUUGGGAUGGGCUCGCGGCCUAUCAGUUAGUUGGUGAGGUAACGGCUCACCAAGACGACGACGGGUAGCUGGUCUGAGAGGACGAUCAGCCUCACUGGAACUGAGACACGGUCCAGACACCUACGGGUGGCAGCAGUCGAGAAUCAUUCACAAUGGACGAAAGUCUGAUGGUGCAACGCCGCGUGGAGGAUGAAGGCCCUAGGGUCGUAAACUCCUGUCAUCGGAGAGUAAGCCUUGGUCGUUAAUAGCUUCCAAGGUUGAUAGUAUCCGAAGAGGAAGGGACGGCUAACUUCGUGCCAGCAGCCGCGGUAAUACGAAGGUCCCAAGCGUUGUUCGGAAUCACUGGGCGUAAAGAGUAUGUAGGCGGUUUGGAAAGUCAGAUGUGAAAGCCCGGGGCUCAACCUCGGAACUGCAUCCGAUACUCCCAAACUUGAGUAAUGGAGGGGUAACUGGAAUUCUCGGUGUAGCAGUGAAAUGCGUAGAUAUCUA